UGGCUGCCGUGGUAGUCAUAACAAGCUUAAAAAUACCUUACCAGAAGAUGAAGACGAGGAAGAAGGAGGAGGAGAAGGAGAAGAAGAAGAAGGAGAGGAAGCAGUAGAAGUGGAAGAGGUGGAAAAUAUUCAAAUAGAGUCAUCAGGAGAAGAUGAAAGUCCUGCAAACGCCUCGGAGACCUCUCAGCUGGCCUCAGAGCUCCAGGCUGUCCCCGGGGCACUUCCAGUUUCCUCUUCAGAGCCACCUCCAACCCUGCCACCUGCUGUGGAUGCCCCAGUGACACAGGGGGAGGUUGUGCCCACUGGCUCUCAGCAGACCACAGAGUCUGAAACUCCAGUUCCUGCAGCAGCGGAAACUGCGGAUCCCUUGUUUUACCCUAGUUGGUAUAAAGGCCAAACCCGGAAAGCCACCACCAACCCACCUUGCACCCCAGGGAGCAAAAGUCUGGGGCACAUAGGGCCUCCAAGUUCUGAGGAGUCAAAUGUACAGAAGGCAGAAGUGACAGAAGCCGUAGCCAAUGAGAGGGCAGCAGUGAGUGGUAAGGAAACUAGUUCACCUGCAGCUACUUCUCAGAUUGGAUUUGAGGCCUCUCCCCUCCAAGGACAGGCUGCAGCUUCAGAGAGUGGGAGUGGAGCUGAUUCUGAGCCAGCUCGCCACGUCUUCUCCUUCUCCUGGUUGAACUCCCUGAAUGAAUGAUGUUCAUUCCAACUGCUGCACUUCUGUCUGCCUGAAUGAGAUGCACACAGGCAGCAGGGAACCUAGAUGAAAUUAACACGAUACAGAUGAUGAAUGGGACCUCUCGACAGGAUUUUUAAAAGAAAGAAAAAAAAACCACUUUAAUUCCAGAUGACUUAUCUAACACAUUGAAGAAAAAAAAUACUUUCAGAAAAUAGAUGCAGAAAGCACUGGAGAAAAGAAACUUGAUCUUAUGCAAGUCUUUUAUUGUGUGGGAAACAUGAGGGGUGUGUAGGUGUGGUACAUGUGGGUGCGUCAGUUACAAGUAGCAAGUGUUGAAAAAUGUGGGCACUACACUCUCGUCUCUAAUAGGCACCAGCUUUUUGUUAUUAGAUCAUAGUGGCUCUCAUUUCCUUUUCUCUUUAACAAUGCAGGUGGUCAGUGAAAUUCAGUGUCAAUUCAGAAAUGCCUGAUUUAUCAAUAUACAGACAAAUGGUAAAUCAUUGACCAAAGCUAUGAAAAUGUUGUGCAAAGUUUUCCUCUUUUCCAUAAUAAAUGUCACUGGAUGUGUAUCCAGAAAUGUUCUUUGAAUUUGAUGGCACUUUUAUAGUCCAGAAGGCUGAAGGCCAAGGACAUCUCUUGUGACAUUUUUCUAAUCUUAGUUUUAGACACUUAUAUACUAGGUACUUUAAUUGAAAAAGACUUUCUAGCAGAAACCAGUUUCUCAUACAUCUCUGUGGCACCAAUCUGGUAAAUUGUAGAACAACUGCACGUAUAAAUAUAUAUGUGUGUGUCUGUGUAUAUACAUAUAUAUCAUGCUUUAUUUGUCCCACCAUAAUACUUCUUUCAGAACAUAAGUGUAACUUUACUCUGUAUGAACUGUUAAAUAAAUACUGUUUUUAAA
ensembl:lincRNA